CAAAACGUAGCUUAAC
rnacentral:tRNA from 1 species